rnacentral:rRNA from 1 species
UGCAAGUCGAACGAACUCUGGUAUUGAUUGGUGCUUGCAUCAUGAUUUACAUUUGAGUGAGUGGCGAACUGGUGAGUAACACGUGGGAAACCUGCCCAGAAGCGGGGGAUAACACCUGGAAACAGAUGCUAAUACCGCAUAACAACUUGGACCGCAUGGUCCGAGCUUGAAAGAUGGCUUCGGCUAUCACUUUUGGAUGGUCCCGCGGCGUAUUAGCUAGAUGGUGGGGUAACGGCUCACCAUGGCAAUGAUACGUAGCCGACCUGAGAGGGUAAUCGGCCACAUUGGGACUGAGACACGGCCCAAACUCCUACGGGAGGCAGCAGUAGGGAAUCUUCCACAAUGGACGAAAGUCUGAUGGAGCAACGCCGCGUGAGUGAAGAAGGGUUUCGGCUCGUAAAACUCUGUUGUUAAAGAAGAACAUAUCUGAGAGUAACUGUUCAGGUAUUGACGGUAUUUAACCAGAAAGCCACGGCUAACUACGUGCCAGCAGCCGCGGUAAUACGUAGGUGGCAAGCGUUGUCCGGAUUUAUUGGGCGUAAAGCGAGCGCAGGCGGUUUUUUAAGUCUGAUGUGAAAGCCUUCGGCUCAACCGAAGAAGUGCAUCGGAAACUGGGAAACUUGAGUGCAGAAGAGGACAGUGGAACUCCAUGUGUAGCGGUGAAAUGCGUAGAUAUAUGGAAGAACACCAGUGGCGAAGGCGGCUGUCUGGUCUGUAACUGACGCUGAGGCUCGAAAGUAUGGGUAGCAAACAGGAUUAGAUACCCUGGUAGUCCAUACCGUAAACGAUGAAUGCUAAGUGUUGGAGGGUUUCCGCCCUUCAGUGCUGCAGCUAACGCAUUAAGCAUUCCGCCUGGGGAGUACGGCCGCAAGGCUGAAACUCAAAGGAAUUGACGGGGGCCCGCACAAGCGGUGGAGCAUGUGGUUUAAUUCGAAGCUACGCGAAGAACCUUACCAGGUCUUGACAUACUAUGCAAAUCUAAGAGAUUAGACGUUCCCUUCGGGGACAUGGAUACAGGUGGUGCAUGGUUGUCGUCAGCUCGUGUCGUGAGAUGUUGGGUUAAGUCCCGCAACGAGCGCAACCCUUAUUAUCAGUUGCCAGCAUUAAGUUGGGCACUCUGGUGAGACUGCCGGUGACAAACCGGAGGAAAGG